rnacentral:lncRNA from 1 species
UUCCACUCUCAUUGCUAAUAGCCCUGAUAUUCUUUCUCCUCAAGAUAUACAACUUUUGCCCAAAUUUACAGCUGGAAGGGCACCAUUACUUGAGGUACCUGCAAUUUCUUCACCAUCUUAGUUGAUUAAACCCAGAUAGAUGAUAUGAUAUGAUGUAAGUCUUUUUUGUGUGCUGAAAAGGGACAAAUAAGACAGCAAGGAGAAUACGAGUCCCUCCAUCGUGACUUGAAUAUUGGAUUCGGUACCUGGGAAUUCGACCCGAUGGAUAUUGAGAACCCGUUUCCAAACAAUGAAGGAUCCGUUGAUAUUUGGAUGGGUGAUGAUGAUAAAAUUGUGCCUGUGACACUGCAACGUUAUAUUGCUAAACAGCUUCCAUGGAUAAACUAUCACGAGC